rnacentral:rRNA from 1 species
CAGUUAAUUUAAAUUGAUUUGUUAAAAAUUGUGCCAGCAAACGCGGUUAUACAAUUAAAUCUAAUUAAUUAUUUUGGUUUUUAUUUAUUAUUUAUUUUAAAAUUAAUAUUUUAAUUAUAAGGUGGAAUUUUUAAUUUAUUUAAGUUUUUGGUUUAAGAUAAUAAUAAAUUUGGUUUUAUAAACUAGGAUUAGAUACCCUAUUAUUCCAAAUGUAAAAAUUUAAUCUUAGUAUUAAUAGUUAUGAUCUUUAAAUUAAAAGGAUUUGGCGGUAAUUUAGUCUUUUCAGAGGAACCUGUUCUUUAAUCGAUGAUCCACGUUGGAUUUAACUUUUAUUUUUGUUUGUAUAUCUCUGUCAUUGAAUGUUUUAUUAGAAUAUUUUCUUUUAUUAUUAAUUUAAUUAAUGUCAGGUCAAGGUGCAGUUAUAUAAAAGGUUGUAAUGGGUUACAUUUAAUGUUAAUUUAUUGGAUUCUUUUUAUUGGAAUUAAUUAAUGGAAAAAUAGGAUUUGAAAGUAAAAAUUAUUAUUUUAUAAUUUUGAUUUUAGCUCUAAAUUAUGUACACAUCGCCCGUCGUUCUCAUU